GGGAUAGUAGUCAAGUGGUUAAGACCCUCGGAGAUGCAGAAUAAUCGUAAACAUUAAAAGCGAUACUCCGAGAGACAUAGGUUCAAAUCCUAUCUAUCCCA
rnacentral:tRNA from 1 species